UACGUAGGGGGCGAGCGUUGUCCGGAUUUAUUGGGCGUAAAAGGCUUGUAGGUGGCCACGUCAAGUCGGAUGUGAAAUCUCCCGGCUCAACUGGGAGGGGUCAUUCGAUACUGGCGGGCUCGAGGCCGGUAGGGGGAAGCGGAAUUCCCGGUGUAGUGGUGGAAUGCGUAGAUAUCAGGAGGAACACCCGUAGCGAAGGCGGCACUCUGGGCCGAUACUGACACUGAGGAGCGAAAGCGUGGGGAGCGAACAGG
rnacentral:rRNA from 1 species